AAAUCACUAUAAUAAACACAAACUAACUAUGAAAAUGCAAGAAAACAAGCUAACUAAGUCGCAUAAAUAUGCUCCUAUCAAGCACAAUCGAAGGACAUUUUUAUCUCAACAUGAAUGGUAGUUUAAACUGUAUUACAAGCGGAGAUUCCUCAAAACCCACAAAGUAAGAGAAGGUGUUAACAAAGUAACAUUGUGGCACCUUAAACUUGGACAUGUGAACCAAGAUAAGAUUCCGAAGAUGUCCAAGAUGAAUAUUUUGAGUCAUUAGAUUGUGACCUAAUGUCUAUAUGUGAGUUUUGUCUAAAGGAGAAGAUGUCUAAAUAGAGCUCUAUUCUAAAACGGCAAUGAUUGCAUCUCUUGAAAACUUGAAGAUAAUCCAUAGGAAAAUAGGCCUUCAUAAAUAGACACUGGAAUCAAAUGAACGAAUCCAGAAAUAUAACAUUAUGAAUCCAAAUGUAAAGAAGAAUAAAAAACAAACACUACAUUGCAUGGUCUAAAUCCAAAUGUAAAAACAAAGCAAAAUCAAAAGAGCAAAACAAAAGAUUACUCGUCCAAGUUUGAUAAAUCAGGAGAUCGUCAAGGAACCUAGGUACUAGUGUGGUACCAGUCAAGGAUUCUCCUAUGAUUAAGUCAAUAAAUGUUAUAUGAUCUCAAGCAGUGGGAUAGAGAGAGAUUAUGUGAUAUCUUUGACUAGAACCCUAGAUGUAUUUAUAAUGAUCAUAUAAAAUUCUUAAUAGGAUAGUAAUUCAUAUUUAACCGACAAAACUCCAGAGUAAAUCUAGGAAAACAUUCCUUUUCAGAAUGAUUUAUUACUUAUAAUGCACGUCAAUCUCAUAAUUCCAGGAAUCUCCAAGAUACUCAAUAUUCUAUCCAGUAAUCAGGCUAUUAGCAUUCCGUUUCUUGAGGAGCAAGGUAAUAGAAGACAACUUGGGGACUCUGGAAAUGCUCAUGUUGGAGUUAUGCUUGUCCUUACUUUUCUUCUUGGAAUUUAAACGAUUUUUUGUCCUUGUUCGCUCCAGGACGAUGUGUGUUAGCAACUCUGACUUGCCUCCAAGUAGUUUUCUCUAAGAAUUCUUCUCUGAAAGAGAUCACCAUCUCAAAAUUCCUAGUGGUUACUACCUAUUAAUUUUAUAAAAGACACAAAUAAAUGCGUACAUGGUAUUAAUUAGAGGUGGAUACACGGCACCCUAACAAUUAUAAUUUUUCAAAUUUAUUUUUAUAUACACCCUUUGACUGAAAAGCUUGUUAAAAAUGUGCCCUAAAAUCAAAUCAUAAGAUAAUAUAUAACGCGCACGCACACACACGCACACCCCGGAAAGUGAAAUCCAUAAUGAUGAACUCAUUAAAAAUCCGGGUAGAAUAAAAAUGGGAAAUUUUAUUUGAACCCUGAUUUUGUAUCUCUACACCCAACUUAUAAAAUUAGGUAAAGUACAAAAAACUACUUCAACUAUUGGUGUCACAACACUAUCAUACCUCAUCUUAUGAAUUUGUGCCAAUGUCAUACCUCCUCAGUUUUUCUGUUAAUUUCUCAGUUAAUUGCUAACUUGGCUUGAUCCGGGGUCCAUUUUCUAUUAAAAAAUUAUUAAAAACUCAAAA
rnacentral:lncRNA from 1 species